rnacentral:rRNA from 1 species
AUUGAACGCUGGCGGCAGGCCUAACACAUGCAAGUCGAGCGAGCGGCGGGCGGGUGAGUAAUGUAUGGGGACUGCCCGAUAGAGGUGGCUAACUACUGGAGACGGUGGUUCAUAACGCAUCUUGUCGGAUAACCACUAUGGGAUUAGCUAGUAGGUAAGGUAAUGGCUAACCUAGGCGACGAUCCCUAGCUGGUCUGAGAGGAUGAUCAGCCACACUGGGACUGAGACACGGCCCAGACUCCUACGGAGGCAGCAGUGGGGAAUAUUGCACAAUGGGCGCAAGCCUGAUGCAGCCAUGCCGCGUGUAUGAAGAAGGCCCUAGGGUUGUAAAGUACUUUCAGUCGGGAGGCGUUACCGACAGAAGAAGCACCGGCUAACUCCGUGCCAGCAGCCGCGGUAAUUC